GUACAUUUAAAAAUUAGAAGUAUAAACCAGUGAAGGUUGAAUAAUGUUAGUGAAAUGUUUUAUCUAAAUGAUGUAACUUGUGUUUCUUUAAUCGCAUUAUAUUUAAUGAAUUUCCAACUGUCUAAAUGUUUAGUGGAAAUAUCGCAUAAACUGGUGCCAAGCAGCGAUUUACCGUCUUCUGGUGGGUCAAAGAAAGUCUAUAUUAUUUCUCACGGACUUGACAAGCACCAAAUAGAAGACAUUCUCAAAAACGAAGAUGUGAAAUCUCUCAUAAAUGAAUCUCAACAAGUCAAGAAGAUCCAUUUAAAUAGUUCCACUAACGUUGAUCACCUGUAUGACAUUAUCGAUCAUUCACACGAAGAACAAGAGAUAUUGCGGAAAUUAAGUUCACAAUUAGGACUUGAUGUUAUGGGAUACAAAAAUGUCUUACAUGACUCAAGUACUUUAAAUACAAACCAUACAUCUUCUUCGAAGGAAUUACUCAGAACAGGAAAGGCUGACAGAAACGUCCUUAAUAAUAACGAAGAAAAUGAAGAUGGUGAUGUAAAUUUUUCUAAUGCUAGUAACAAAUUUUUGAAUAACGAACCUAAUUAUGGUCAUCUAACUAAAAGUAUAUUAAGAACAAGCAGUGUAUCCGGAUCUUGCAGUAAAGGUGCUUCGAAAGCCUGCAAUAAAGCUUGUAAGAAAGCUCUUUCAAACGUUUGCCAUGAAUACAAAUGCAGUAACGAUUUGAUCACUAGAUUUGAAAUAGA